rnacentral:rRNA from 1 species
UAAAAAAAGGUAAGCUACUAAGAGCGAAUGGUGGAUGCCUUGACUGGUAAAGGCGAUGAAGGACGUACUAGACUGCGAUAAGCUACGGGGAGCUGUCAAGAAGCUUUGAUCCGUAGAUUUCCGAAUGGGGCAACCCAAUGUAUAGAGAUAUACAUUACCUAUAUAGGAGCGAACGAGGGGAAUUGAAACAUCUUAGUACCCUCAGGAAAAGAAAUCAAUAGAGAUUGCGUCAGUAGCGGCGAGCGAAAGCGCAAGAGGGCAAACCCAGUGCUUGCACUGGGGGUUGUAGGACUGCAAUAUGCAAGAGGUAAGUUUAGCAGAACAUUCUGGAAAGUAUAACCAUAGAGGGUGAUAGUCCCGUAUGCGAAAAACAAACCUUAGCUAGCAGUAUCCUGAGUAGGGCGGGACACGAGGAAUCCUGUCUGAAUCCGGGUCGACCACGAUCCAACCCUAAAUACUAAUACCAGAUCGAUAGUGCACAAGUACCGUGAGGGAAAGGUGAAAAGAACUGAGGUGAUCAGAGUGAAAUAGAACCUGAAACCAUUUGCUUACAAUCAUUCAGAGCCCUAUGUAGCAAUACAGGGUGAUGGACUGCCUUUUGCAUAAUGAGCCUGCGAGUUGUGGUGUCUGGCAAGGUUAAGCAAACGCGAAGCCGUAGCGAAAGCGAGUCUGAAUAGGGCGCUUAGUCAGAUGCUGCAGACCCGAAACGAAGUGAUCUAUCCAUGAGCAAGUUGAAGCUAGUGUAAGAACUAGUGGAGGACUGAACCCAUAGGCGUUGAAAAGCCCCGGGAUGACUUGUGGAUAGGGGUGAAAGGCCAAUCAAACUUCGUGAUAGCUGGUUCUCUCCGAAAUAUAUUUAGGUAUAGCGUUGUGUCGUAAUAUAAGGGGGUAGAGCACUGAAUGGGCUAGGGCAUACACCAAUGUACCAAACCCUAUCAAACUCCGAAUACCUUAUAUGUAAUCACAGCAGUCAGGCGGCGAGUGAUAAAAUCCGUCGUCAAGAG